GUGCCUACCUCAGCAGCACAUAUACUAAGAUUGGAAUGAUGUGGAGAAAAUCAGCGUGGCCCCUGUGCAAGGAUGACAAGCAAAUUCAUGGUGCAUUCCAUCUUUAA